UUGGCCACCUGGCUCUGAGAACUGAAUUCCAUAGGCUGUGAGCUCUAGCAAAUGCCCUAGGGACUCAGUUCUGGUGCCCGGCUGUGCUAC
rnacentral:pre_miRNA from 12 species